UACGUAGGGUCCGAGCGUUAAUCGGAAUUACUGGGCGUAAAGCGUGCGCGGGCGGUUCGCAAAGACAGGUGUGAAAUCCCCGGGCUUAACCUGGGAACUGCGCUUGUAACUGGCAAGCUAGAGUGUGGCAGAGGGGGGUGGAAUUCCACGUGUAGCAGUGAAAUGCGUAGAGAUGUGGAGGAACACCGAUGGCGAAGGCAGCCCCCUGGGCUAACACUGACGCUCAUGCACGAAAGCGUGGGGAGCAAACAGG
rnacentral:rRNA from 1 species